AACUCUGCACUGAUGUGAGCAUGCUCAGUGGAUUAAACGCAUACCCGGAAAUAAAAAUACAGAAACGGCGAUUAUUUUUAAACAUGUUUAAUUCAUUGACAAAAUGUAACGGUACAUGACAAGGAAUAGCUGAGCUGCGAAGGCUUCGACAUAAUGCUAGGGUUUAUAAUUUCAUUUAUUUGUGUAUUAGUGGCAAUACUAAUACCACAGAUGAGAACAUCUUUACUAUUACUACACCAGGACUGUGCCCACAUCACUGACGACCUGUGCAGCGCAUAACCAAAGAGGAGUUAUCUCUGUACAGCGGAGAGAACAGCAAGGGCCUUUACCUGUCCAUCCAAUAAUGUUUACAUAUUUUGCACAACUCAUCUCAUAUGUAUAUAUUAUAUUCUACUGUAUUUUAGUCUAUGCCGCUCCGACAUUGCUCGUCCAAAUAUGUAUAUAUUCUUAACUCCAUCCUUUACUUUAAAUGUGUGUGUAUUGUUAGAUCUUACUUGUUAGAUAUUACUGCACUGUUGGAGCUAGAAACACAAGCAUUUCGCUACACCCGCAAUAACAUCUGCAAAACGUGUAUGUGACCAAUGGGGACUUUACAGAUACCAGUCUGACUGAUGAUGUGUCCAGUCUGACCUCUGCUCAGGUGGUGUCCCUGUAAGACUAGAUGACCUUCUAUCACAAGGACUACAAGCCUAUGGGCAGACAGGUGGGGGCAGUUUUACAGUGACGGUGGAGAGCCCACAGAGGCCUUGCUGCAGGUGGAGGCAGCCCUGGAGGAGGGGCAGACACUCAAGGACCAAGCCCAGGCUGAGAAGUAACACCUCCCAGCCAGCAACUCAGAGUGGAGUGCUGCCAGGAGAGGACGGGUCUGGUGCUCCACCAAGAGGAACUGACAUCAUGGUGCACAGAGAAACUUUGUGCAUGUUUGACAUUGCAGUCGGAAGUUCAGGCGACUACCGACUGAUUGAUCUACAAAUCACCCUGAAUCAUAAUGGUGGAGUGCAGAGAGACUAGGCCGGCGUACCGAGGGUACUGUUCUCUCUUGGCUCGGGCAGCUCUCACUGUGUAUGUGUCCAGAACUCCUCCACAGUGAAAAACCCUAACAUCCAGGAUUAUGAGGGCUGCCCCCCCCGCUCACGCUGAGUCAUGUCCUGUCAGAGAGUAGAGGGUGAGGUUAGACAAAAGGGGGCUCUGUGAAGGCUGGGCCACCUCACACACAAGGGCCUAUAUACUGUUAUCUAAAACUUCCCAAGAGUUCUGAAUUAGAAUGACUGGAUAUCUGAUUGUUAGUUUGAAGAUAACCUCUGUUGAAUGGUUUUUGUUCUUUAUGCAUGUACAUUUUAGUUUAAUUAAUAUGCAAUAUGUCAACUAAUUGCAAGUGCAAAUAGCCAAAUACUGUACACUCAAUAAUUAGGAAUAGAAGGGAAGUGUUUUAUACUACACGGAACCAAAAUAUAAAUUCCACAUGUAAAGUGUUGGGCCCAUGUUUCAUGAGCUGAAAUAAAAUAUCCCAGAAAUGUUCUUUGCACAAAUAGUGUAUUUCUCUCAU